rnacentral:rRNA from 1 species
CAGUCGCCGCGGGAAUACGUAGGGUGCAAGCGUUAAUCGGAAUUACUGGGCGUAAAGCGUGCGCAGGCGGUUUUGUAAGACAGAGGUGAAAUCCCCGGGCUCAACCUGGGAACUGCCUUUGUGACUGCAAGGCUGGAGUGCGGCAGAGGGGGAUGGAAUUCCGCGUGUAGCAGUGAAAUGCGGAGAUAUGUGGAGGAAUACCGAUGGCGAAGGCAGCCCCCUGGGAUAACACUGACGCUCAUGCACGAAAGCGUGGGGAGCAAACAGGAUUAGAUACCCGCGUAGUCCCUGUCUUUUAUAC